UACGGAGGGUGCAAGCGUUGUUCGGAAUCACUGGGCGUAAAGCGCGUGCAGGCGGUUUGGAAAGUCAGAUGUGAAAGCCCUGGGCUCAACCCAGGAAGUGCAUUUGAAACUUCCUUACUUGAGUAUGGGAGAGGAGAGUGGAAUUCCCAAUGUAGAGGUGAAAUUCGUAGAUAUUGGGAGGAACACCCGUGGCGAAGGCGACUCUCUGGACCAAUACUGACGCUGAGACGCGAAAGCGUGGGGAGCAAACAGGAUUAGAUACCCUCGUA
rnacentral:rRNA from 1 species